GAUGAACGCUGGCGGCGUGCCUAACACAUGCAAGUCGAACGGAGUUUUAUGAAGUUUUCGGACGGAAUAAAACUUAGUGGCGGACGGGUGAGUAACGCGUGGGUAACCUGCCUCAUACAGGGGGAUAACAGUUGGAAACGGCUGCUAAAACCGCAUAAGCAUACAUUGUCGCAUGGCAGAGUGUGAAAAUAUUUAUAGGUAUGAGAUGGGCCCGCGUCUGAUUAGCUAGUUGGUAAGGUAACGGCUUACCAAGGCGACGAUCAGUAGCCGGCUGGGGAGAGGGACCGGCCACAUUGGGACGCAGACACGGCCCAAACUCCUACGGGAGGCAGCAGUGGGGAAUAUUGCACAAUGGGGGAAACCCUGAUGCAGCGACGCCGCGUGAGUGAAGAAGUAUUUCGGUAUGUAAAGCUCUAUCAGCAGGGAAGAAAAUGACGGUACCUGACUAAGAAGCCCCGGCUAACUACGUGCCAGCAGCCGCGGUAA
rnacentral:rRNA from 1 species